UACGGGGGGGGCAAGCGUUGUUCGGAAUCACUGGGCGUAAAGGGCGCGUAGGCGGCUUUAUAAGUCGGGGGUGAAAGCCUGUGGCUCAACCACAGAAUUGCCUUCGAUACUGUAUGGCUUGAGACCGGAAGAGGUAAGUGGAACUGCGAGUGUAGAGGUGAAAUUCGUAGAUAUUCGCAAGAACACCAGUGGCGAAGGCGGCUUACUGGUCCGGUUCUGACGCUGAGGCGCGAAAGCGUGGGGAGCAAACAGG
rnacentral:rRNA from 1 species